UUCCAUGGGAACCAUUAUUACGCUCAUUUUACUCAUGAGCAAUCCGAGGCCUAAGAUUUAACACGUGGCUCUGUCUCUUCCCUUUCCUUCCUGAAUAACUCAGUCCGACCGGCCGAGGCCUAGAAAGAACCAGCAACUACGGGGACAAAUGGCCGAGAGAAGAUACAAACCACCUAGAAUAUUCGCAUACUCUUCGUGCAGGAAAGUGCUCAAAGAUUGAUGGGGACGUUCCAAAAGGACGCAGCAGCCAGCUCCAAGAGGCCUGACGGAGGACAAUUUGAGUGUCAAAAUAAAACACGACAAACAUGGAUGACAACCCACGGAACAGCACAGGGAUCCGUGAUGCCGCACCCCUGUAAAUAAAUAGACAAGUGAACUAAA